GGGAGUCUGAGAAGAACAGAGAGAUGUCCUACACGGGAUCCUCUGUAGAGACAGGAAGAGAACCUUGUUUUAGUUGCCUGGCAGAGCUUCACUUCAUCUUUUGGUUUGGUUCUCACAGUAAAUAGAGAUGGGAGAAUGGAGGCUUCAUAUACCAGAUGUUUCCUUUCCUCCUGAAGGCUGUUUUGAAGACCGGUGUCCUUGCCUUGAGAAAGGCUCUGUCAAGACAUUGACAGUAAAGUCUCCUUUCAUUGUCUCCCUGGGCUGUAUGUGUGGUCCUGCUCCCCACAGCAGAUUCCUAACACUGUGACUGUCUCCCUGGGCUGUAUGUGUGGUCCUGCUCCCCACAGCAGAUUCCUAACACUGUGACUGUCUCCCUGGGCUGUAUGUGUGGUCCUGCUCCCCACAGCAGAUUCCUAACACUGUGACUGUCUCCCUGGGCUGUAUGUGUGGUCCUGCUCCCCACAGCAGAUUCCUAACACUGUGACUGUCUCCCUGAUUCAGAAGGCUGUUGAGAAAACACAAAGACACCUUUACCAAGGUCGAGAUCCCGUCAGAAUAUCAAUGUGAGCACAGCGGCGGUGAUGGGGGUGGCUGUGAGAGGACAGAGAGGAGUGGCGCCCACCAAGGAGUCUCAUUAUGACACAGAGGGACAUCCGCCUAACACUAACGCUACGGGGUCUGCCACGGCCAGGAGCAGGGGUCCACUACGUAGGGAACCUGGAGAACACAAACCCAUAACCACCACCGGGAUGGACCGAGACACGGGGAUAGAGAGAGGGAGGGAGAAUGAGAGAGGGAGGGAGAAUGAGAGAGGGAUGGGAAGAGGGCGGGAGAAGGAGAGAGGGAGGGAGAGAGAGGUUGAGGUAGAGAGAGAAUCUCCAUGUCCCAGCAACACCAAUGGAGACUCUGAUGUAGAAGCUCUACUGGCCAGACUGAGGGCCUUGUAAGAGAUCUAUUUCCAGACACAGAUAACCCAGUCGCACCCAAACACCUCCACACCUGGCUGCCCCCCCCACCCCCAUAUCUGCA
rnacentral:lncRNA from 1 species